UAUACGUGCAUCGGGAUCAUUAUUGUCCCGCGCACCCCCCCUUCCCAAGGAGCCCCCCUCCCCACGUGCCUCCAAGAAAGCCCCUAACUUUGCCCGGGGUCGGGGUGGCGAUUCGGUAAGAGAUGAUAGAGGCUGGGGGGUGGCCGCCGCCCCUUGCUCUGAGUUGACCUAGGUGAGGGCAACUUGUUGGAAGACGCCCCACUCUCUGGGAGGGUCAGAGAUUCCCUGCGGCGGCCUCCCUUGUCUGUACCACCUCCACACUGCACCGAGACCUGAUGCCACGUGGGUGAAGCACAGCGCUGUAGGCAAAAGCAUUCAGAUAUGAACGAGUUAAUUAACAACUGCUCAGCGCCAACUCUGGAGCCAGCGCCGAGGAGUGCGGUUUGGAGACGUUUUCGCCGGGUUCACAGCCCUCAAGAAUGCAAUCAUGACAAUUAGAGAGCAGCGCAAGAAAAUCUAUAAUCAACUCCUUUACGGGAUGAAGUAAAGGCUGCUGCAAGCAAAGCA